rnacentral:rRNA from 1 species
UGUAUCAGGGCUUAUUAAAUUAGGAUUAAGGCUUUAAUUGUCUCGAAUUUAAAAGAGCUAUAUUUAAAUAUAUCUUAAUGUUGAAUAAUUAUUUAUAAUUUAUAUAUAGUAAUGAAACGUUAUUCGUUUUUGAAUAUAUCUAGUUUUCCAAGAAAUUAAUUAAAUUUAGUAGCUAUUUAAUAUUUUUAUUAUUAAUUAUUUUGAUAUUAUUAGCUGGCAAUAUUCAAGGGGAUGAGCUUUUGGAUAAAUACUUAUAAGAUUUAUUUGUUUAAUAAUUUGUAGGAUUAGAAUUUUCCAUCUAUAGGAGGAUGUUAUAAUUUAUUAUUAUAUAAUAUGAUUUUUAUUGUCUUUAGGUUGUUUAUUGGGAUAAUAACAUUAAUUGUUUUUGUUAUGGAAUAAUGAUAGGAUUAGUAUAAUUAACUGUAUUAUUGAAUUGCUAUGAGAGGUUAUAAUAAGGAACUCGGCAAUCUAAUUUUCACCUGUUUAAUAAAAACAUGGCCUUUUGAGUAUGAUUUAAGGUCUUACCUGCCCAAUGAUUUUUCAAUGGCCGC